GGUCCAGAGUUAAGUGUCUUUUUUUUCCUAAUGGCAUUUGCCUAUGACGACCCUUCUCUGACAGGUGGAAAAAGAUGUCUUCUGGAUGAAGUACCCUUUUCCCAGGGAGCCUGAAGCUUUGGCUCUGGCCGGACGUGUGAAAUGCUGAGCUUCUUGAAAGCGAGCCUCGCGUUGGCCAUCAGCUAGGUGCUGUGGACCUCUCCGAAGCUUCAGAUGGAUCAGCCACUCCGGCUGAUCAGGCAGCUGCUGGUCCUGGCUGUCCCCAGGGAUUUCUUGUGCCCUGAUGGUGCGUGUCCAUGAUGGAGAGUCGACAGUAGCAUCUGUCCUGGGACUUCUGGGGCUCAGUGACCAGAAAGAAGGCAGAGUGGUGGCCUAGGCUGGUCUCUAAAGUUUAUUUGUUCACCAUCAAGGCUGGGACUGAGUGGUAAGACUGCCGUUCUCCGGAGCUCCUGGAGCGCACACUCUAACCGGGCAGACGGAGCAGCAAACAGGUGAUGAUGUUUUGGUGGGAUGCUAAUUGGUUUUCCCUGGCUGCUGUGAUAAAUGACCACCAACAU